rfam:Triticum urartu cultivar G1812 contig1151188, whole genome shotgun sequence.
GGAGGUAUGGUUGAGUGGCUUAAGGCAUUAGUUUGCUAAAUCGAUAUACAAGAAGAUUGUAUCAUGGGUUAGAAUCCCAUUUCCUCCG